rnacentral:rRNA from 1 species
AACGGCCGCGGUAUUUUGACCGUGCAAAGGUAGCAUAAUCAUUAGUCUUUUAAUAGAAGGCUGGCAUGAAUGGUUUGACGAGGUGCUGACUGUCUCAUUUAAUUUUUUAUUAGAACUUAACUUUUUAGUUAAAAGGCUCAAAUGUUUUUGGAAGACGAGAAGACCCUAUAGAGCUUUAUAAUAAAAUAACUGGUCAUAUUUAGUUUAAUUUAUUUGGUCAUUUGUUUUAUUAUUUUGUUGGGGUGACAAAAAUAUAUAAUAAACUUUUUUAUUUAUUUUACAUUAAUUUAUGAAUUAUAAGAUCCAUUUUUAGUGAUUGUUAGAUCAAGUUACCUUAGGGAUAACAGCGUAAUCUUCUUUCAGAGUUCAAAUUUACAAGAAGGCUUGCGACCUCGAUGUUGGAUUAAGAUUAUAAUUAGGUGCAGCCGCUUAAUUUAUAGGUCUGUUCGAC